rnacentral:rRNA from 1 species
GAGCCCCGUAAGCGAAAUCCAAAGAAGGCCUAUCAGUAUCCUGAGUAGGGCGGGACACGUGAAAUCCCGUUUGAAUCCGCGAGGACCAUCUCGCAAGGCUAAAUACUAACCAGUGACCGAUAGUGAACCAGUACCGUGAGGGAAAGGUGAAAAGAACCCCGGGAGGGGAGUGAAAGAGAACCUGAAACCGUGUGCCUACAAGUAGUCAGAGCCCGUUAACGGGUAAUGGCGUGCCUUUUGUAGAAUGAACCGGCGAGUUGCGUUAGUCAGCAAGGUUAAGUCAGAAAAGACGGAGCCGUAGCGAAAGCGAGUCUGAAGAGGGCGAG